GGCGGGCUGCGCAUGCGCGUGCGCACGGCGGGCGCGGCGCGGCGUGUGCACGCGAGCCGGGGGCGGGCGGCGGCCGGGGGCGCAUGCGCACCGGGGCGCCGAGGCUGGAGGCGUGCCCGGCUCAGGAGAGCGGUGCGGUCGGCCCAGUCUGCUUCUCGCUGGCGGGCGCCGUAAGCAUCAGCGUCCCCGCAAGUUCCCACUUCGGCUGCGGGAAGCAGAGUGUGUGCAGGGAACGGAACGCUCGGCUCCGCGGCGGGGAGUUGCAGAUAGAAGGAGCUCGGUCCGCAGGAGCGCGGUGGCGGCGGUGCGGAACUGCCGGCGCCGGCCCCGGAGCCCCCCGUGGUUUCUUAGGCCUGCCGUCGCCGGCUGUGCGGGGUUUUGUUUAACUGUUGAGAGGAGCUGGCUCUCGGAGUUUAAUGGUGUGGAUGCAAACUACCAGGAGUCUCAUGGGAGGAACCCAGGCCCAUGGGGCUUUGCCAGGAGCCUGCCUUCUCUCAAUAUCCACACCCUCAUGAGCUCGGUGUGACCAUCCCGUUUUUACUGAUGGUGGGAUUGAGUGAGGCGGAGCGAGGUUAGAGCGACUCGCGGCCCUGGGAAGGCCGAAGCCCCCUGACCGAGUGUGUCGCUUGCUGGUCCUGGCCUUGGAGACUCAGGCGUGCUGGGUUCCAUGCGGUGGCCUGCUCAGUGCAUCCGGCCCGGAGAGUUGGCUGGAAGCAGCGUGUGAUCUGGUUUGACAAGAAAAACAGGCACGAAGAAGCUACAUCGAAGGAUCCCGACCAGGAGAAGCGUCAGAGCAGAGGUUCUGCCACAUUUGGUGAUACCUGUGCGAGCUGGGAGCCCAAGGCUGCGACAUGGUCCUGGGGUCCUGCUGCACCUGCCGCGAGUGUGAACAGAUGGAUGGCAGGAUGGGAGGCAGAGGACGCGGCUGUGGGCUGGCUGCCCAGAGGUGCCUAUGAUCCAGCUCAAGGACAUGCUGACUGUCUUGCAGAGCAUGUGUACAGAAGGAGAUCUUCCACAGAAGGAGCCUGGGGACAGGCCGUUCUCUCCACGCAGUGAGGACGGGAGGAGCACAGCCCCAUGCUAGCGAUGCUGAGUCUGCCAGCACCUUCAGUUGUGUCAAUGCGGCACGGAACGAGAGAAGAAAAUGCAGGACAUCAGGUCUGGUCUCCGCUUGACCAAAGGCGAGGUUGAGAAGGCUGCCGCCGGCCCGGGCUCUCAGGCGACGAGCGCUCACUGCCCUCCAGUGGCGAGACGGGCGCAGGGCUCGCUGUGCUCCAGGCGUUCGCGGGAAGGCCUGGCUGCCACAGUCCCGUGCCUGCUACCAUGCUCGCUGCCUCGCACACUGUUUCAGGACGUGCGUGAGCCCGGACACAUUAUGUGUCGGGUGCUAUGGGCGUAUGAGAUGAAUUAUACAUUUUUACUGAGCUGUGUUCUCCAAAAAUUCUUAUGUCCUCACCCCCAGUACCUCAGAAUGUGACUGCAUUUGUUAAAGAGGUGAUUAAAUUAAAAUGAGGGUGAUAGGGUGGGCUUGAUCCAAUCUGGCUGGUUCCUUAUAAGAAGAGACACAGACACAGAAACAAGAGGGAAGGCCGCUGAUGACACAGCGAGAAGGCACAUCCUACAAGGGGCUCUGUGAUCUCGGUCAGGACGUGAGUCAUGGAGGUGUCUCACCACAGACCCGUGUCCUCGGCAGGGCUGGGCUGUCCCCACACCGGACUUGGUGGUGAGCCUCCGGAACAACAGCUCGUGGACCCUGCCAGUGCACAACUCUGUCCAUCCUCCUUCUCAGAUCAGGCGCUGGUCUGCCACCCACGAGCCAUGCCUGAAGACUCUCCCCGCUCUGGGUGCUGUGGGGGACCUCAGGAGGGACCUGUCCCCAUCCCCCAGGGGAUCUCCCAAAAUGUGCAUGUGGGGAUGGCCCGGCCCUGCAGGCAGGAAGGCAGACCCGGAGCUGUUGAGGGCCCACUCCACACGCACUCGCCUCUCGGGCUGGAGUGGGCCUGGGAGCUUGCAGACCCCUUGCCCCUCAGCCCUGCAGCUGGCCCCUGGGACUUAAGCAAGGCUGUUGACUCAGAGGGGAGAAACCAAAUCUCUCACAGACGUGAUGCGCAUGCAGGCCUGACCCACAGGCUGCUCCCCUCACUGUCCGGAAAAGGCUGGGCACCAAAGUAUGAAGAGGUUAGACUUGUAAAUCUGCCAGUAAAGCACCACCCACACUAUGUGGGGCAGCAAGUCAGAGCAGGGCCUUGCCUCCCGCUGGUAUGUGACCCCCCAAAAUUUGUCUGGAGCCACAGAUCUGCUGCCCCCAUCGUGCUUCCUGUCUCAGUGGAUGGUACCACUGCCGCCUACUGCCUGAGCUGGCCUCUGGGGCCAUCCACUGUUAUGUGGCUGAUUCACCUCACACCUCUUCCUACUUACCCACUAGAGCCACCAUGAAACAGAGGCUCCUCCACGCCAGGACAUGUCAGCUGGGUACUGAGGCCCAGCAAGGUUAAGAGACUUGCUCUGGAGACGUGACACCAGCAAAAACGGCGGAGCUGGAAAUUCUCUCCUCUGCAAAAUCAACAAGGACACUCUCAAUUAUUAUCAUAAUCAACUUUUUCAAAACUCUGGAAAUUUGUCAAAGGCUUGUAGAAAUCUGGGGAGUUUGUUCCAGGAAAAAAGCUGAAUCUUAGUAGGAACAGUGAGCUUUGUGGUUUUAACUCUCUCUGUUCUCAUUCGCCUCUCCUUAGCUCCAUGGUAAGCUUGAAAGCCAGCAGCCUGUAAUCACGGUGAAGAUGAGCAGCCUGGCAGCCGCUGGAAGGUGCAGAACAGGGUUGAAGUUCUUUCAAAGACCCAUUUCCAGAGAAUUGUCCUUAUUUGACCUACCUGGUCAUUCCCUGAAGACUGCCCCCACACAAAGGCUGUUUUCAUUUGAUCUGGCUUGGAGCUUGGCCAGUGCAAACAGCCUUUUCCUCAGGAGCAUUUGUUGAAAACAAUCAGAGACAGUUGUUGAAAUGUUGCCUGAGGUGGUUUAUAACAGUUGGGGAAAACAAUAGGUUAACCAACACACUUACAAGGAGAAGCUGGGAAAUGAAAUAUCUAUGAGGCUUUGGAAAGCUCUAGCAUGUCCUUGGGAGUCGAGAAGGGUGUGCAUAGGGUUGUGCAUGUACUCAGGAGAACCUCAAUCCUCCCCUCUGGCUAACCUUGGGGCUCUGCACGAGUGAAAGGUGGAGGCUAAGGUGGAGUCACAAACGGCCUGGCUGGGUGCUGCAGGUGUGCCCCCUCCCACACACAGAGCCCCUCCACAAAGGCUGAGAGACAUAUCGGUUCCACGCAGCUAAAGAAAUUUCUCUACAAACCUUAGCUGACCGUUAAGUUACCUGAGCAGAGACUUCAGUGGUCACAUAGGAAAAGAAUAUAAACUUUACAUAUUUAGUUCAGGAAAGUCACUAAACAAACAAACAGCCACAAUAACAAACCCUGGGGAGGGGUGGCCAGAAUCUAAUUUCUAGAGUUGCUGCAUUAUAUUAUUUAAAAUGUCCAGUUUUUAACAAUAAAAAUUAUGAGACAUUCGAAGAAACAAGAAGGUAUGCCCCAUACACAGCCCCUCUAUCAUGUGUGGGUCAUACUUUCUUCCUCAGGGGGAGGGGUCCCAGAGGAAACCCAGGCAUUGGAUUCACAGGACAAAGACUUUAAAUUAACUAUUGUAAAUAUGUUCCAAGAACUAGCAGAAACCAUGUCUAAAGAAUAAAAGGAAACUAGGAGAAUGAUGCCUCACCAAAAAGAGAAUAUCAAUAAAGAGAAAUUAUAAAAAAGAACCAAGUAGAAAUUCUAGAGUUGAAAAGUACAAUAACUGAAGUAAAAAAUUCUCUAGAGCAGCUCAAUAACAAAUUUGGGUGGGUGGAGGAAAGAAUCUGCAAACUUGAAUAGGUCAAUUGAGAUUAUCCAGUCUGAGGCACAGAAAGAAAAGAAUGAAGACAAAUUAACAGAGCCUCAGAGACCUGUGGCACACCAUCAAGCAUAUGAACAAAUGCAUAAAAGGAGUCCCAGAAGGAGUGGGGAGAGAGGAAAGGUCAACAAGAAUAUUUGAAGAAAUAAUGGCUGAAAAUUUGAUGAAAAACAUUAUCUGUGCAUCCAAGAAGCUCAAGAAACUCCAGGUGGAAUAAACUGAAAGAGAUUCACACUCAGACACAUCAUAAUCAAACUAUCAAAAGCCAAAAACAAAGAGAAUCUCAAGAGCAGCAAGAAAAAAGGCAACUCAUGAUGUACAAUAGAGCUUCUGUAAGGUAAACAGCUGAUUUAUCAUCAGAAACCAUGGAGGCCAGGAGGCAGCAGUAUGGCAUAUUCAAAGUGCUAAAAGAAGAAAAAAAAACACUGUUAACCAAGAAUUCUAUAUGUGACACAGCUGUCCUGUAAAAAUGAAGGAGAAAUUAGCAUAUUCCCAGGUAAAUGAAACCUGAGAGUUUGUCACUAGCAUACCUGUCCUAUAACAAAUGCCAGAAACAAUCCUUCAGGCUGAAAUGAAAGAACUCUAGACAGUCUCAACUCCACAAGAAUAAAUAAAGAACAACAUGAAAGGUAACUACAUAAGUAAAUGUAAAAGACCGUAUGAAUGUAUUUUUGUUUGUAACUCCUUUUUUCUCCUACCUGAUUUAAAAGGCAAGUGCAUAAAGCAAUAAUCGUAAAUCUAGGUUGAUGGGCACACAAUGUAGAAAGAUGUAAUUUGUGACAAUGAUGGCACAGGUGGGGGACCAAGCUACAUAGAAGCAAAAUUUUUGUAUACUAUUGGAACAAAUUGGUAUUAAUCCUAACUAGAUUGCUAUAAAUUAAGAUGUUAAUUGUAAUCCUCAGGGAAAGCACUAAUAAAAUAAGUAAAAAUAUGGGGCCGGCCCCGUGGCCGAGUGGUUAAGUUUGCAUGCUCUGCUGCAGGUGGCCCAGUGUUUCGUUGGUUCAAAUCCUGGGCGCGGACAUUGCACUGCUCAUCAAACCACGCUGAGGCACCACAUGCCACAACUAGAAGGACCCACAACGAAGAAUAUACAACUAUGUACUGGGAGGGCUUUGGGGAGAAAAAGGAAAAAAAUAAAAUCUAAAAAAAAAAUAAGUAAAAAUAUUUAUAGUAAAAGAAAUGACUGUUUCUUAGUCAUUUAAAGAGAAUUAAAUGGUACAUAUUUUAACACGAAAGAAGGCAGUAAUAGAGGAAUAGAGGACCAAGAAGACAUAAGACAUGUACAAAACAAAUAGCAAAGUGGCAAAAAAUCCUAGCUUAUCAGUAUUUACAUUACAUAUAAAUGGUUUAAACACUCCAAUUAAAAGGCAGAGAUAUGCAGAAUGGAUACAAAAACGUGACCCAGCUAUAUACUGUCUACAAGAAAUAUAUUUUAGGUUCAAAGACACAAAAACGUUAAAAGUAAAAGGAGAGAAAAUGAUACACCAUGCAAACAGUUCCCCCAAAGAGCUGGAAUGGCUAUACUAAUCUCAGACGAAAUAGACUUCAAGACAAAAAGUUUUACUAGAGACAAAGUAGGAUAUUUUAUAAUGAUAAAAGGAUCAAACCAUCAAGAAGAUAUAACAAUUAUAAACAUAUAUGCACCUAGCAAAAAAGCCCCAAAAUUCAUGAAGCAAAAACUGACAGAUUGAAUGGAGAAAUAAACAAUUCAAUAACAAGAGAGAGGUCAAUACUCCACCCUCAGAGGAUCUAUAAGGAAAUACAAGAGUUGAACACUGUAAACCUAUUAGACCCAGCAGACAUUGACAGCACACUCCACCUAAUAGCUGAAUAUACAUUCUUCUUAAGUUCACGUGGAAUGUUCUCCAGGAUAGACCAUAUAUUAGGCUAUAAUACAAGUCUCAAUAAAUUUUAAAGGAUUAAAAUAAUACAAAUUAUCUUCUCCAACACAGGAAAUAAAAUUAACAGAAAGAAAUUGGAGAAAUUCACAAACACAUGGAAGUUAAACAAUAUGUACUAAGUGAGAAAGAAGAAAUCAUAAAGGAAAUUAGGAAAUACUUUGAGAUGAAUGAAAACAACACCACCACACACCGAAACUUAUGGGAUGCAGCUAAAACAGUGCUCAAAGAGAAAUUUAUAAUUGUAAGCACCUCUAUUAGGAAAGAAGAAAAAUUUCAAAUCAAUAACUUGUUUCCACCUUAAGAAACUAGAAAAGGAAAAGCAAACUAAACCCAAUGCAAGUGGAAGGAAGUAAAUAAUAAAUAUUAGAACAAAAUUAAAUAAAAAAGAUAAUAAAAAAUAAUAGAGAAAUCUACAAAACCAAAAGUUAAUUUUUUAAGAAGACCAACAAAGUUAAUAAUCUUUUGUUAGACUGACCAAGAAAAAGAGUGAGACAAAUUACUAGAAUCAGAAAUGAAAGAGGGGGCAUUAUACCAAAGUUACAGAAAUAAAAAAGAUGAUAAGGGAAUACUAUGAACUGUUAUAUGCUGUGGUGGUCAGAACAGUGCUUGAUCUUUAUGUCCAGAUCCCUGGAACCCAUGAAUAGAUCACAUUACAUGGCAAAUGGAAUUUUGAAGAUAUGAUUAAGUUCAGGAUCUUGAUAUGGGGGUCUUAACUUGGAUUAUCUGGAUGGGUCCAAAGCAAUCACAAGGGUCCUUAUAAGAGAAAAAGGGAGGCAGGAAGAUUAGAGUCAGAGAUUUGAUGAUUCUAUGCUAUUGGCUUUGUAGAUGGAGGAAGGAGCUAUAAGCCAAGAAAUAAAGGCGGCCUCAAGAAGCUGAAAAAGAUGAGAGAACGGAUUCUUCCUUGGAGCCUCCAGAAGGUAUGAACACUUGCUAACACCUUGAUUUAGCCCAAUGAAAUUCAUUUUGAACAUCUGACCUCAGACACUGUAUGAUAUUAUAUUUGUGUUGUUUUAAGCCACAAAGUUUGUGGUAUUUUGUUACAAUGUGAUAGGAAAUGAAUACAUAUGACAGCAAAGUAGACAACCUAUAUGAAAUAAACAAAUUUAUAGAAAAGUAGAAACUACUGAAACUGACUCAGGAAGAAAUAGAAAAUCUGAAUAGACCUACAAAUAAAGAAACUGAGUGAAUGAUCAAAAACUUCCCGUUAGAAAAGUCCAGGGCCAGAUGGUGUCACUGGUGAAUUCUAUCAAAUGUUUAAAGAAGAUUUAACCCCAAUCCUUUACAAAAUCUACCAAAAAAUAAAGAGGGAACAUUUCUGAACUCAUUCUAUAAGGCCAGAAUUACACUGAUAGCAAAACCAGACAGAAGCAGCACAAGAAAAGAAAACUACAAACCAAUAUCCCUUAUGAACAUAGAUACAAAAAUCCUCAACAAAAUACUAGCAAACCAAACCAGGCAACACAGAAAAAGGAUUAUACACCAUGACCAAAUAAUAUUUAUAUCAAGAAUGCAAGGUUGGUUCAACCGUCGAUCAAUGCAAUCUACCAUAUUAAUGGGAUAAAGGACCAAAAAACACAUAACAAUCUCAAUAGACCCAGAAAAAAGAUAUGACAAAAUCCAACAACCUUUCACAAUUAAAAAAAAAAAAAACUCAACAAACUAGGAUGAUAAGGAAAUUUCCUCAACCUGAUAAGGAGUAUCUGCAAGAAUCUCCACAGCUAACAUCAUAAUAAUGACAGACUGAAAGCUUUCCCACUAAGAUCAGGAACAGACAAGGAUUUUUGCUCUUGCCACUUCUAUUGAACAUUGUAGUGGAGGUUCUAGCCAGGGCAAUAAGGCAGGAAAAUGAAAAGGCAGCCUGACUGGAAAGGAAGAAGUAAAACUAUCUCUAUCUGCAAAUAACGUGAUCUUGUAUACAGAAAAUCCUAAGGAAUUAAAAAAAAAAACUAUUAGAGCUAAUAGUUAUCUAGGUUACAGGAUACAAGAUCAAUAUGCAAAAAUCAAUUAUAUUUCUACACACUACCAAUGAACAAUAGAAAAAUGAAAGUAGGAAAACAAUUCCAUUUUCAAUAGCACAAAAAAGAAUACAAUAUUUGGAAUAAAUUUAAUCAAAGAAGCAUAAGACUUGUAUAAAACAUGGCUGAAAGAAAUUAAAGAAGACCUAAGUAAAUGGGAAGACAUCUUGUCUUCACAGCUUAGAAGACAGAAUGUUGUUAGGACAGCAGUACUCCCCACACUGCGCUACAGAUUCAAUGCAAUCUCACUUCUUUGAAGAAAUUGAUGAGCUGAUCCUAAAAUUUAUACAGAAAUUCAAAGGGUCUGGAAUGACCAAAACAAUCUUGGAAAAAAAGAAGAAAGUUGGAGGAUUCACACUUCCUGAUUUCAAAACUUACUACAAAGCUAUAGAAAUCAAGACUGUGUGUUAUCGGCAUAAGGACAGACAUAUAGACCAAUGGAAUAUUUGGAGUCCAGAAAUAAACCCUCACAUUUACCGUUAAUUGAUUUUUGAUAAGGGUGCCAAGACAAUUUGAUAAGGGGGGAAGAAUAGUCUUUUCAACAAAUCAUACGGGGAUGAUUGGAUAGCCACAUGCAAAAAAUGAAAUUGGAUCCCUACCUCACACCAUAUACAAAAAGUAACUCAAAAUUGGUCAAAGACCAAGUAAGUGUAAGAACUAAAACUAUAAAAGUCUUAGAAGAAAAUGUAGAUAUAAAUCUUCACAACCUUGGAUUUGACAAAGGUUUCCUACAUAAAUAACACCAAAAGCGCAGGCAAUCAAAGAAGAAAAGAGAUAAAUUGAACUUCAUCAGAAUUUAAAUACUUUUGUGUUUCAAAGGACACUAUCAAGAAAGUGAAAAGACAACUCACAGGAUUGGAGAAAAUAUUUGUAAAUCAUAUGUCUAAUGAGGGACUUAUAUCCAAAAUAUAUAAAGAACUUUUACAACUCAACAAUAAAAAGACAAAUAACCAUAUUAAAAAUGGGCAAAGGACUUGAAUAGACAUUUCUCCAAAGAAGAUAUAAAAAUGACCAAUUAUCACAUGAAAAUAUGCUCAACAUUAUUAGUCAUCAGGGAAAUGCAAAUUAAAGCCACAAUAACAUAUCACUUUACACCCACUAGGAUGGCUAUAAUCAAAAAGCUAAACAAUAAUAAGUAUUGGCAAGACUGUUGAGAAGUUGGAAGCCUCAUACAUUGCUAAUGAGACUGUGAAAUGGCAUAGCUCCCGUGGAAAACAGUCUGACGGUUACUCAAAAAGUUAAGCAAAGAGUUACCGUAAAACCCAGCAAUUCCAUUCCCAGGCAUAUACCGAAGAGAAUUUAAAACGUAUGUCUACACAAAAACUUGUACACACAUGUCCAUAGCAUUAUCCAUAAGAGCCUAAAAAUGAGUACAGCCCAAAUGUCCAUCAACUGAAGCACGGAUCAACGAAGUGUUGUAGCUACGCGCAAUGGAGUAUUAUUCAGGCAUAAAAAGGAAUGGACUGACACAGGCUACAACAUGGAAGACCUGGAAAACAUCAUUUAUAUGAAUGUCCAGAAUAGGUAAAGCUACAGAGACGGAAAGUAGAUUAGCAGUUACCAAGGGCUGAGCAGAGGGGAAAAUGGGGCGUGACUGCUGAGGGAUACAGAAUUUUUGGGGGAGGUGAUGAAAAUAUUUUGGAAUUGAUAGUUUAUGAUGCUGCACAACUUUUUAAAUAUACUAACAACCACUGAAUUGUAUGGUUUAAAAGGGUGAAUCUUAUGGUGUAUGAAUUACAUCAUUAAAAAAACAUGAAAAUCCAAACCCAAAAGAGAAAGAGUGACUUGGUGGUGCUGACCGGAGCAAGCACUGGCGUGUUGUGGGGCUGCAGCUGGGAAGUGAGGGAACCCCGUUCAUCAGAGAGCCCCUUCUGAGCUUUGCCCCGCGGGGUAUGAUUGUUCUGAUGAGUAGAAAUGGACCUUUUUCUUCACAAAUAAA
rnacentral:lncRNA from 1 species